UAAUAUUUAUACAUAUUUAUAGGGUAUGUGUGAUAUUUUGUUGCAUGCAUAGAAUGGCUAAUGAUUAGGUCAGGGUAUACCUCUAGUAUUUAUCACUUUUAUAAGUUUAGAACAUUUUCAAGUCCUCUCUUCUACCUAUUUUAAAAUAUAUAAUACUUUGUUAUUAACUAUAGAUACUCUGCUCUGCUAUUAAACUUAUUUCUUCUAUCUGUUUGUUUAGACCCAUUAAUCAACCUCUCUGUUUCUCUCAUCAACAUGGCUCACCCUUCCCAGCCUCUGAUAUCUCUCAUUCUACUCUCUACCUCUAUGAGAUCAACUUUUUAGUUCCCACGUGUGAGGUCCUAAUCAGGAUAUCACAUUGUAUUUACUAAGGAUGUCUCCUCAGACCCCUAUUGGCUGUAACAGAUUCUCAGUCUUUUCUUGUUUUCUAUGACUUUGCAGUUUGGAGGAGUACUAGUGAGGUUUUUUUGUAAAAUGUUUUUCAUUUGAGUUCUCGUGAUACUUUUCUCAUGGUUACAAAGGGGUUUGAAGUUUUGGGGGAGGAAGACCACAGAUUUCUGUUAAGAUUCCUGCAUUUGCUCAAGAUAUUUUUUCUUUUCUAUGAGUAAAUUCAUGCUGAGAGAGGAAAGAGGAGAUCAACCUGCUAAUAGAAAAAGAUGCUUUGGUACUUCAUGAAAGAGAAGAUUAAAACUCCAGCUUUCUCAUGGGUGACAAGGAGUGAAGAUUGCUGCAACGCCCAGUGCUCAUGUUGUUUGGGGGCUGAUUAGAAAGCAGAAUAAAGCCAGUAUGGAGGCUUUUCUCUGUAUGUCUCACAGAACCAGGUGUGACUAAACAGGACUGUGAGCUGGCAAUGGAACAGGGCCACUUGGAGCUUGUUUCUAUUCUGUUUUACAAAGUCUAAAAACCACUCUGAAAGACAUAUUCACCCUAAAGUAUAGUGGAAAGUUGAGCAGGCAAUUCUUGAAUUAUCUAGCAGCUGGGAUCUCAAAGAAGACUGAAGGAGAGAGGCUAACAAACUAUGAUAUCUGGACUCAUUUGCAAAUUGACUUCAAAUUAGAUUCUUCCAAAGAGCUGCUGGAAAGAUACUGA
rnacentral:lncRNA from 1 species